rnacentral:rRNA from 1 species
AUUGAACGCUGGCGGAAUGCUUUACACAUGCAAGUCGAACGGCAGCACGGGGCAACCUGGUGGCGAGUGGCGAACGGGUGAGUAAUACAUCGGAACGUGCCCAAUCGUGGGGGAUAACGUAGCGAAAGUUACGCUAAUACCGCAUACGAUCUACGGAUGAAAGCGGGGGAUCGCAAGACCUCGCGCGAAUGGAGCGGCCGAUGUCAGAUUAGGUAGUUGGUGGGGUAAAGGCUCACCAAGCCAACGAUCUGUAGCUGGUCUGAGAGGACGACCAGCCACACUGGAACUGAGACACGGUCCAGACUCCUACGGGAGGCAGCAGUGGGGAAUUUUGGACAAUGGGGGCAACCCUGAUCCAGCCAUGCCGCGUGAGUGGAGAAGGCC